UCUGGUUGAUCCUGCCAGUAGUUAUAUGCUUGUCUCAAAGAUUAAGCCAUGCAUGUCUAAGUACACACGAAUUAAAAGUGAAACCGCAAAAGGCUCAUUAUAUCAGUUAUGGUUCCUUAGAUCGUUAACAGUUACUUGGAUAACUGUGGUAAUUCUAGAGCUAAUACAUGCAAUUAAAACAUGAACCUUAUGGGACAUGUGCUUUUUUUAGGCUAAAACCAAGCGAUCGCAAGAUCGUUAUAUUGGUUGAACUCUAGAUAACAUGCAGAUCGUAUGGUCUUGUACCGACGACAGAUCUUUCAAAUGUCUGCCCUAUCAACUUUUGAUGGUAGUAUCUAGGACUACCAUGGUUGCAACGGGUAACGGGGAAUCAGGGUUCGAUUCCGGAGAGGGAGCCUGAGAAACGGCUACCACAUCUAAGGAAGGCAGCAGGCGCGUAAAUUACCCACUCCCAGCUCGGGGAGGUAGUGACGAAAAAUAACAAUACAGGACUCAUAUCCGAGGCCCUGUAAUUGGAAUGAGUACACUUUAAAUCCUUUAACAAGGACCAAUUGGAGGGCAAGUCUGGUGCCAGCAGCCGCGGUAAUUCCAGCUCCAAUAGCGUAUAUUAAAGUUGUUGCGGUUAAAACGUUCGUAGUUGAACUUGUGCUUCAUACGGGUAGUACAACUUACAAUUGUGGUUAGUACUAUACCUUUAUGUAUGUAAGCGUAUUACCGGUGGAGUUCUUAUAUGUGAUUAAAUACUUGUAUUGUUUCAUAUGUUCCUCCUAUUUAAAAACCUGCAUUAGUGCUCUUAAACGAGUGUUAUUGUGGGCCGGUACUAUUACUUUGAACAAAUUAGAGUGCUUAAAGCAGGCUUCAAAUGCCUGAAUAUUCUGUGCAUGGGAUAAUGAAAUAGGACCUCUGUUCUGCUUUCAUUGGUUUUCAGAUCAAGAGGUAAUGAUUAAUAGAAGCAGUUUGGGGGCAUUAGUAUUACGACGCGAGAGGUGAAAUUCUUGGACCGUCGUAAGACUAACUUAAGCGAAAGCAUUUGCCAAAGAUGUUUUCAUUAAUCAAGAACGAAAGUUAGAGGUUCGAAGGCGAUCAGAUACCGCCCUAGUGCUAACCAUAAACGAUGCCAGCUAGCAAUUGGGUGUAGCUACUUUUAUGGCUCUCUCAGUCGCUUCCCGGGAAACCAAAGCUUUUGGGCUCCGGGGGAAGUAUGGUUGCAAAGGUGAAACUUAAAGGAAUUGACGGAAGGGCAGCACCAGGAGUGGAGCCUGCGGCUUAAUUUGACUCAACACGGGAAAACUUACCAGGUCCGAACAUAAGUGUGUAAGACAGAUUGAUAGCUCUUUCUCGAAUCUAUGGGUGGUGGUGCAUGGCCAUAAAUUUUUAUAAGCAUAUGGUAUAUUAUUGGAUAAAUAUAAUAAUUUUUAUUCAUAAUAUUAAAAAAUAAAUGAAAAACAUUAUCUCACAUUUGAAUGUGAAAAACGAAGAGAAAUAUUUUCUUUUUCAAUCAAAUAAUACUGAGAAAUGUCUAGCAUAAAAAAUUGAAAUAUUUUCAUCUAGAAUUGUCUCUUAUUAAUGAUUCGGAAAUAGAAAAAUCUUGGUUAUGUUAUUAUUCUUCGUUGGUUCGUUAAAAAUGGAUAAAUAAAAACUUUGCAUACAAGAAUUAAUAAAAAUGUUAUAACGAAUUUAAUUAAAUGUUUUAUCAUUAUAUAUAAAGAAUUUAUGGCAAGAUAAAGUUAUAUACAACCUCAACUCAUAUGGGACUACCCCCUGAAUUUAAGCAUAUUAAUUAGGGGAGGAAAUGAAACUAACAAGGAUUUUCUUAGUAGCGGCGAGCGAAAAGAAAACAG
rnacentral:rRNA from 1 species